UUCAAGGAUUGUCAUGUAUUUGAGGGGUCUUCGGUUUCUGACACAGUCUUUAGGAAUUCGUCCUUCACAGCCAUCACCAGGAGAGCCUGAGCUUUAAGUUUGUGGAUUUUGAACUGCUCUACAGUAUAUGUCGAUGCACCUACGGUUAUUGGGAACGAUGCUGGUGUCAGUUUUCUCUCCACUGAAUCCCACAUAUUUUCUCUCUUCAACAAUGCCUUCAUCCUUAACUUCCACACAUUAUAGUUUGUGGAACCUCCAAUUUAUUACUCUCACUAAUGGUGAUCGUUGACGACUGAUCACUUGACAUGCUGUCGAAAUGAAAAAAUCUACAGAUACUCUCAAUUCAUGGUGCUGGUAGAAUGUCACUAGAUUUUUUUACUGUCUACAUAGAAACAAAACUAGAUGGAUUCAGAUCUAGGAGCAAAGCUCACUAGCAGGAAGUUAAUCCCGCUCUGAUACCAUGAUAAAGAACUACAUGAUCGAGAUAAUAUAUUUUUAUUAAGGAUUGAUUGAUUUAAGUACAAGAGAGUAACUGUGUGUCAGUUAUGGUGUGCCGCUGGUGGGACUCGAAGAGCCAAUCAGCACUCGAAGAGGCAAUCGGCACUGGCAGUCAGUCUGCGACUCGUAGAAACGAUAUUUUACUAGAUACUUUUUAUUAGGGCGACUAUCUUCAAAUGAGAUUCUAUGUGCUUCUAUGUGCUUCAUCUCGUACACACAUAACAUCAGAUUUUUGCAUCGGUUUUUGAGCCUGACUACCACGUCUGAGGGUUUGCUCACGGCUCAUGGGAUUCAACGCUUUGGUUUCCGUGGUUAUUGAGGAAUUAAUCACAUGCCGAAUACCAUCAGAAAGAAAGACUAGCAUGGUGGGCGUUUCGGAGUUUCGGUGGCCAAUUGCUUUCAACCGAAUUACUUCAUGGGAAUCAGAAAUUAGCUUCCGCGUACCAUUGUUCACCGAUUAACCAGUUGGUUGCUUUAAACCAUCGCAGAAUCGUAGGAUAAUACUACGAGAUUUAAUCUUGGUUGAAAGCUGGAUAUAGGUUUACUUGCUAUGAAAGCGUGCACGGAAUCUACAAACAUAGUAAACUUCUGCAGAUGGCCCUCAACUCUUGCGACGACGGAACUGGAGGAUCCCAAACUGCUCUUUCUGUUUCGAGUCCAAUGAUCAAUCCCCCCACAAAAAGAAAUCCAAUCCCACUACGCUAACGUCCUUAAAUCGCCGAAACUCUUUGACGCCAUGCUCAGCGAAAAAAAACAAAAGCACCACGAGUCGACCUUUACAAGUGUCAUCCACAAAAUGACUGAUCCAUUUGCCAUUCUGAGCCGGCAGGUGCACAAAUGGGUACUCAUUAAACAACUAUUUUGUGAAGUCAGCAAACGGGUCCGACCUAAGUUACCCAUCUAGACCUACGAGGUCUACGAGGUCUACGAGGUCAUGGACCUAUUUUCAGCUCGGAUGAGUGGACAGAGGGAUCAUCUCACCACUGAGUUUUUGAUCUGCGCUCGAUUUCCAUCGCUGGUAGAAUCUGUUGCAUUAGGGAUGCAGAGUCUACUGCCUAGCCUGCAAUAAACAACCCAGGAAUGCUGCGGAGAUUGGUUUUGCUGUUCGGCGACCUCAUAUGUGCUGCACAGAUGCUCUGACGAUUGAUAGACUUCGCGGCCUGUAAUAGUAUUACCUCUCCCACGCCUCUGUGAAGUGGGCGUGGGCACGAGUGUUAAAUUUGUACGCUAGGGACAAGAUGGUGCCCACCCGCAAGCUCCACAGCGGCUCCAUGUGACCCAAAGUCAGGUUUAUGGUCAUUUCCUCGGGAUUGACAGUCCUCUGACUCAUAAUGGGAGGACCCCACUUGAGCGCCUAAUUUAAGUACUUCUCCGGUACAAUAUUAACAAGUGGGAAUCUAACUUCAGUUACCUGUUACAGUGCAAAGAUUCUCCAAGAUAGAAACAGGGUUUCUAGAUCUGUUCUAAUAGUGGGUCACGUGGGUCAUGGAUUUUUACUGGAACUGAAUGGGUUUGGUCGGCAACUCAGUGACGUAACUUGCGCACUGUGAGUGGUCAUUCUACUUUCCUCUAUGCUACACAUCAUGUCCGUAAUUGGAUACAACACGAAAUGGUAAAAUAUACAAAGGCUCGUCGAUUGCUGAUCAGUUUCCUGGUACGUGACUCUGCUGAUUACCCUAAACCUUAGGUGAGUGAGAGGAAUAUUCUAAAUCGAAAGAAGAAAAUCCCCUGCGCGCUUUUUUUUCUUGCACUUGUGGAUUGAGCAUUGAGCCGUUUGUUCCUGUCAUAGACGCCUGCUAACCCUCUGAGUAUUGGCCGCGAGAAUUCGGACACGGAGGUUGUAGCCCCCGCCCUGAAACUGUAGCAUCAGAAUUCCUAACAUUCUCUUCCCCUGAUCCAAAAAGACGGAGGGGAAAAAAAAAACAUGAUGCCCUUCCCCUCAAUCCGAACUUAGGCUCAGAAAAGCGCGUCCGUGCCCGCGAAAUCACACUUUUUGCUUUGGGGAUUUGAAUUCGAACGUGCUAUGGCUGCCAUUUGGAAGGAGCCAUAACAGGGGAGAGUUAGGACCAGUGGGAGUGCUGGGGGUGUGGGGUACGACACAGGCUGAAUGAGUUCUUUUGCUGCAAGAGCCAUGUGUGAGAUGCGAAGGGAAAUUCCUGGGCCCCAGCCCACUCCCAGCUUCGUGCGGCUUUUCUUCACUCUUUUUCCCCUCGCAACAAGUUUCCUCGCAUUGGAAUGAAUCCACAUCAAAUGAUUGAACACAAAUUCUUGGCCGGCAGCCCCCGGGGGAGCAACAACCAGGAGAAGAAAGAAGAAGUUGGAGAGGCUCAGAAAACAGCGAGCUCAGUCACAUGAAACGCCCAUGCACCCAUCUGAACCAUCGUAUUCAUUUCGAAGCAACAAACCAAAACCCUAAAACAUCAACUGUCGACAUUAGCAUUCUAAACAAUGCGGCCAAAAAAAAGAACAAGUAACCUUACAAGUAACGAAGCUGACGUGAGGAAGAAAACAUCGAGGCUCAGCUUGGGGGAGCAUGACCCCAUUAAUGGAAGCUGAGCCAAUUGUGCAUAGCGACAAUGAAUGAAAAGGAAUGGGAGUGUCAGACGGACGGCAGCAACAGGAAUAGCCACAGCACCCUCCUCUACGAGGAGACAUACCCUUCCCAGGGCCACGACGACUCCGGGUGGCUGCGGAAAGCUCAUCAGUAUUAGGGUGACGGAGGAAGCUGACAAGCCUUAGUGCCUCUGCUCUCUGAGGCCUGGCGUUAAGGUCUCGGUACACAGGGCCCAGCUCCCAAUGUUCUCUAACUGACGGCCAAUGAUUCUAAAUCCAAAUAUAUAUGUAAAUAUCUGUGUGUGUGUGUGUGUGUAGUGUGUUAGUUUGAAGUUACGAGAAGCGAUAUUACAGAGCUCAUGAUGCGAAUGAAUACCCCCCACUUCAGAUUC